rnacentral:rRNA from 1 species
AUUGAACGCUGGCGGCAUGCUUUACACAUGCAAGUCGAACGGCAGCGCGGGCUUCGGCCUGGCGGCGAGUGGCGAACGGGUGAGUAAUGCAUCGGAACGUGCCCAGUAGUGGGGGAUAGCCCGGCGAAAGCCGGAUUAAUACCGCAUACGACCUGAGGGUGAAAGCGGGGGACCGAAAGGCCUCGCGCUAUUGGAGCGGCCGAUGUCGGAUUAGCUAGUUGGUGGGGUAAAGGCUUACCAAGGCGACGAUCCGUAGCUGGUCUGAGAGGACGACCAGCCAAACUGGGACUGAGACACGGCCCAGACUCCUAGGGGGGGCAGCAGGGGGGAAUUUUGGAAAAGGGGGGCAACCCUGAUCCAGCCAUGCCGGGUGCGGGAAGAAGGCCUUCGGGUUGUAAACCGCUUUUGUUGGGGAAAAAACUCUCUGGGCUAAUACCCCGGGGGGAGGACGGUACCGGAAGAAUAAGCACCGGCUAACUACGU